rnacentral:rRNA from 1 species
AGCAGCCGCGGUAAUUCCAGCUCCAAUAGCGUAUAUUAAAGUUGUUGCAGUUAAAAAGCUCGUAGUUGAAUUUCGGGGUCAGUAGGUUGGUCAUGCCUUUGGUAUGUACUGGUCUCACUGAUUCCUCCCUCUUGAAGAACUGUAAUGUCAUUAAUUUGGUGUUGCGGGGAAUCAGGACUGUUACUUUGAAAAAAUUAGAGUGUUUAAAGCAGGCUUACGCUUGAAUACAUUAGCAUGGAAUAAUGAAAUAGAACGUUUGAUCCUAUUUUGUUGGUUUGCUUAUGGAUUGACGUAAUGAUUAAUAGGGAUAGUUGGGGGCAUUAGUAUUCAAUUGUCAGAGGUGAAAUUCUUGGAUUUAUUGAAGACUAACUACUGCGAAAGCAUUUGCCAAGGAUGUUUUCAUUAAUCAAGAACGAAAGUUAGGGGAUCGAAGACGAUCAGAUACCGUCGUAGUCUUAACCAUAAACUAUGCCGACUAGGGAUCGGAUGAUGUUAAUUUUUUUAAUGACUCAUUCGGCGC